AUUCUUGUAAAGAAGAGAAGGGAAAAAUCAUUAAAAUGAAAAGGAUUGUGACUUCCAUUGCACUCCGGAGGGGCGCACGCCUAAGGUCUACCUAACAGGUGGACCCUACGUCAUACUUUGUGGUAGUGGGGGCCUGCGUUCGCGCGGCCCCUAC